rnacentral:rRNA from 1 species
AGGUUACUGCUAUCGGUGUUCGCCUAAGCCAUGCGAGUCAUAUGUUCGUAAGAACAUGGCGUACUGCUCAGUAACACGUGGAUAACCUGCCCUUGGGUCCGGCAUAACCCCGGGAAACUGGGGAUAAUUCCGGAUAACGCACAUAUGCUGGAAUGCUUUAUGCGUAAAAUGGAUUCGUCUGCCCAAGGAUGGGUCUGCGGCCUACCAGGUAGUAGUGGGUGUAAUGUACCUACUAGCCUACGACGGGUGCGGGUUGUGAGAGCAAGAGCCCGGAGAUGGAUUCUGAGACAUGAAUCCAGGCCCUACGGGGCGCAGCAGGCGCGAAAACUUUACAAUGCGGGAAACCGUGAUAAGGGGACACCGAGUGCCAGCAUCCUAUGCUGGCUGUCCGGGUGUGUAAAAUACACCUGUUAGCAAGGGCCGGGCAAGACCGGUGCCAGCCGCCGCGGUAACACCGGCGGCCCGAGUGGUGAUCGUGAUUAUUGGGUCUAAAGGGUCCGUAGCCGGUUUGGUCAGUCCUCCGGGAAAUCUGACAGCUUAACUGUUAGGCUUUCGGAGGAUACUGCCAGACUUGGAACCGGGAGAGGUAAGAGGUACUACAGGGGUAGGAGUGAAAUCUUGUAAUCCCUGUGGGACCACCUGUGGCGAAGGCGUCUUACCAGAACGGGUUCGACGGUGAGGGACGAAAGCUGGGGGCACGAACCGGAUUAGAUACCCGGGUAGUCCCAGCCGUAAACGAUGCUCGCUAGGUGUCAGGCAUGGCGCGACCGUGUCUGGUGCCGCAGGGAAGCCGUGAAGCGAGCCACCUGGGAAGUACGGCCGCAAGGCUGAAACUUAA